rnacentral:rRNA from 1 species
UGGGGAAUUUUGGACAAUGGGGGCAACCCUGAUCCAGCCAUGCCGCGUGCGGGAAGAAGGCCUUCGGGUUGUAAACCGCUUUUAGCUGGGAAGAAAAGGCACGGGCCAAUACCCUGUGUUCUUGACGGUACCGGCGGAAUAAGCACCGGCUAACUACGUGCCAGCAGCCGCGGUAAUACGUAGGGUGCGAGCGUUAAUCGGAAUUACUGGGCGUAAAGCGUGCGCAGGCGGUUCGUUGUGUUUGCGGUGAAAGCCCCGGGCUCAACCUGGGAAUGGCCGUGAAAACUGGCGAGCUGGAGUGUGGCAGAGGGGGGUGGAAUUCCAGGUGUAGCAGUGAAAUGCGUAGAGAUCUGGAGGAACACCGAUGGCGAAGGCAGCCCCCUGGGCUGACACUGACGCUCAGGCACGAAAGCGUGGGGAGCAAACAGG